AGUGUGUAUGGGGAAGCAGACGCUGAUUGAACCGCAGUGUACCAGUGUUUUGCGUGAUCAUUUCCAUGGACAAGCACCCGCUGGGUAUUGUGGCUGUCGUGGGGUACCUGCGAUAAACGUAGCGUUCCUUGCAUCCGGUAACGUGAGCGGCAGACUGUUUAACUGCAACCAGCAUUUGGAGUGUUGCUGUUGCUGUUCUCUACACAUAUGAUUGUGGUGGUGAUUAUUGUUUAACUAGAUUUUGGUUUGUUUUUCCUCUAGCCUGUUGAUUGUAACGAGUAUUGUAGUGAGUGCAGUUAUUGUACAUCACAGGCUAGAGUGGUUUCUUUAUUCCUUUGUUUUGUCCCCCCUCCCUCUCGUGUAGCCAGCCUCGGUGGUGGUGGAGCCAGGGUAGCAUACAGGGCCCUUUUGAGAAGGCAAUCUCCCUAGUUCCCCCUCUUGCACUUAAUGUGUAGCUUAGACGUGUGACAGGAAGUUGCUGUGAAGCAUGAAGUCUUAAGUCCUUAAAUUAAGUUUAUCAGAGUGACAUUUAGUUGCAGUGUGUCUAUAGACAGUGAUCACGUGUGAUUGGGACCCUAACCCUUCUAGUUGUGGUUCUCAUUGUCUUCUCUGGCUCCUGUGCCGUUAGCUUGGCGAUUCCCCACUGUAUUCCCUUGUUAUUUAUUUUACUGUCGACCAACCAAACCAGCACUUUAAUACCAUGUAUUAAUAAAAAAG
ensembl:lncRNA